CCCAGCAGACCAGCUGUCUGUCCCACGUCCUGACCUGGCCAUGACCUUGCCGGAUCCUUCUCCAGACCUGAAAGCCCCAGCCUGUACUUCUGACCUCCCGAUGUGACCGGCUCUCUGAGUCAACUAUCAUGUUUUACAUGCAGGAAAAGAUUUGGGCAAGGGGGACUCUGAGUCCCAGGGGGCUCAGGGAGAAGUUAGGGAGCUCGUCUGCCCCAGAGACAGAAGGGGGUUGUGUGGUGGGGAGCAGAGGUAACUGCAGAAUGGUGGGUGGGUACUGUCUGUCUUGGGUCACAGUACAGUGCCUUCCUGGGCAUGGUGGAAAGGCUGCUCUUCCAGGAAUAUCCCAGCAUCCUCAAGGUUGAAUGCCUUUGCAUUUCUGACACAUCUGCUGGCCCAGGCCUAGGGAGCUCUGUCCCUUCUGCCAGGGUCCUCUCAGGAGGCUCAGGAUGCUGGAAGCUCCAAGUUAGAGCUAGGUGUUCCAGGACCCGGGUGCAUGCUCCCUUGACUGUAGUCUCAAGGUUUUUCCUUUCUAACUCUAUUCAAGCUGCUGAUCAUCUUUGUGGUUGGAGAAGCCCUGGUAGUGGGCAGCCAGGAGUCUGGAGUCCAGUGCAGGAGGACUCAGGUCUCCACUUUUGUGAGAUUUUGGAAAAGACAAAGUUUAAGCCAUCUCUUAGGCGAGAGAGAGGGGAGUGAUGUAGCGGACUUGGCAAGUUUUGGUCAGUCAAGUAUGUGGUGGAAACAAUCUAGUGUUCUUCCACCUCCGU
rnacentral:lncRNA from 1 species